UCUGAAAAAUGAAACAAUGUAACAAACUGUGGUCUGGUGCGCACCACAGAGCGGACUAUUAGGUGUGAAUGAGACCUUAGUGUUUUAGAUCAGUCAGGACUCUGAAGCUGACUAACUCAUAGAACAAACAAUUAUUUUAAAUUGGAUCUAAAACGGUUGGACUGUGUUCAUCCCUACAGGAUCAGAGAUGUUGAGACGAUCAGAGCCAAGAUCCAGAAGACCUUGCACCGAUGAUCCACCAGAGGGCAGAAGACCUGUGUCAGAUUGAA